CUUUUUCUCCCCCCACUGGUCUUCUAAGCAGAUUGAAGCUGCUUCAUCUCAUUCCUGAUUUGUCCUGAUUCCCUCAGUGGCUUGCUCCUGCAUUAGUAAUAUAAAAUGGCCCAAAUGGGUUUAAAAUGGUCAGAAGUUGGUCUUGAUCAGUUCAAAUAUUUUUUGACGAAGAAAUUCAAUUCUGGUCAGUACAAAUCUAUUUUGACCACUUUAAACCAGUUCUGCAGAACUCGAGCCUGUUGUCGGUAAACCUAGGAAGAUGGCUGAAGACUAUGCUGAUCCAUGCCAAAGCAAAGAAGCAGAGAAAGGUAGGAUGCAUUAAGACUUGGGUGGAAAGAGUUAACAUGGGCAGAAUCUUGGAAGACUUCAAGAAGAAGGUGGAAUUCAAACUGAGUCAUGAAUAGCUAUUGAAAAGGUAUUAAAAGAAAAAAUCAUGAAGAAAAGAAACAGAAAAUAGAUCCUGGAGUCUGUCUUAUCUUCUUUUCCUGUGUAAUCAAGAAAGCCUAGGCAGAGUAUUAUUAUUGGAUGGGCUGCAAAGGAGAUUCUUCCAACAUUUCAGAAGCUGGAAGGGAGGCAGAAUCCAUUUGGUAACAUAAACACACUAUUGCUUAUCUGCUGACUCAACUUGGGAUGAAGCAGCAGCUAAGCCAGUUGUGUGUGCAGAGCUCAAGGACAAAGGUCCCUAGCUUCUGCAGAAUACUAUCAUCACUAAGCUCACAGGCAUCUAGAGCAGACAUGUGCUUCAGUAUAAUCUGUGGGCUUCCAGCUUCUACUCUUGGAGUUCCAGCCUUUUUUAUGAUAUUACCUUUCUAACUGCAUGUGCUGUGGACUUCAAGCACUUGAAUCAGAUGUAGAGACAUUAUGUGGACUGCUUGAGUAGCCCCCACAACUGUGUAAGCCAAAUCUCUGUAACAAGUAUUUAUCCAUCCACCCAUUUAUCUAUCUAUCUAUCCAUCUGUCGAUCUAUCUAGCUGUAUUAGUCCAUUCUUGCACUCUAUAGAGAGCUACCCAAGACCGGGUAAUUU